UUUCUUAACGUUUAUGGGCGUAUAAUGAUUUCGUUGCUAAGGCAAAUAUAAUGAUAAACGUCGCGAUUAAUAGAUGAUGUGGACUCGGGGGCGGAGCCCGACAUCUCCACCAUAUUAAGGGGAUGAAUAGAUUCGACGCACAUUGAAAAGCGCGAUUUUCAUUCGUGGUGGUUUACGUCAUAGAACCGAAAAUAUAAAUGCGAACGAUAACUUUGUCGCAUGCAACGAUAAUUUUGUUGGCGAGGCAGUUGCUAUUGCCGCUUAAUUAAGUAGACGCGGUUCGGGGGAGCCGGGCAACAGAAAUCCCCCGCA
rnacentral:tmRNA from 1 species